UUCACCGUGGGUAUGAGGUGUCUCUCCUUGUAUGCAUCUCUGUUUCACCGUGGGUAUGAGGUGCCUCUCCUUGUAUGUAUCUCUGUUUCACCGUGGGUAUGAGGUGCCUCUCCUUGUAUGUAUCUCUGUUUCACCGUGGGUAUGAGGUGUCUCUCCUUGUAUCUCUGUUUCACCGUGGGUAUGAGGUGCCUCUCCUUGUAUGUAUCUCUGUUUCACCGUGGGUAUGAGGUGCCUCUCCUUGUAUCUCUGUUUCACCGUGGGUAUGAGGUGCCUCUCCUUGUAUGUAUCUCUGUUUCACCGUGGGUAUGAGGUGCCUCUCCUUGUAUCUCUGUUUCACCGUGGGUAUGAGGUGCCUCUCCUUGUAUCUCUGUUUCACCGUGGGUAUGAGGUGCCUCUCCUUGUAUCUCUGUUUCACCGUGGGUAUGAGGUGCCUCUCCUUGUAUCUCUGUUUCACCGUGGGUAUGAGGUGUCUCUCCUUGUAUCUCUGUUUCACCGUGGGUAUGAGGUGCCUCUCCUUGUAUCUCUGUUUCACCGUGGGUAUGAGGUGCCUCUCCUUGUAUCUCUGUUUCACCGUGGGUAUGAGGUGCCUCUCCUGGUAUCUCUGUUUCACCGUGGGUAUGCGGUGUCUCUCCUGGUAUCUCUGUUUCACCGUGGGUAUGAGGUGUCUCUCCUUGUAUGUAUCUCUGUUUCACCGUGGGUAUGAGGUGCCUCUCCUUGUAUGUAUCUCUGUUUCACCGUGGGUAUGAGGUGCCUCUCCUUGUAUCUCUGUUUCACCGUGGGUAUGAGGUGCCUCUCCUUGUAUCUCUGUUUCACCGUGGGUAUGAGGUGCCUCUCCUUGUAUCUCUGUUUCACCGUGGGUAUGAGGUGCCUCUCCUUGUAUCUCUGUUUCACCGUGGGUAUGAGGUGCCUCUCCUUGUAUCUCUGUUUCACCGUGGGUAUGAGGUGCCUCUCCUGGUAUCUCUGUUUCACCGUGGGUAUGAGGUGUCUCUCCUUGUAUCUCCGUUUCACCGUGGGUAUGAGGUGCCUCUCCUUGUAUCUCUGUUUCACCGUGGGUAUGAGGUGCCUCUCCUGGUAUCUCUGU